UCCAGUGCCCUAUUUUUAGUGUCAAAUUUCAGCAAAACAAUUCACUUUCAUUUCAUCACAUUUAGACUGCUGGGCUUGUAACUAGGUCACGUCUUCUAGGCAUAUCAAGGGCUCAGAUCUGUCUUGCUUGAGUACCUCAAGGCAGAAAAGAAGGCAACUAUGGAAAAGGAAAUGAAAAGCUGGAUAAGUUUACAUUUUAAAAGCUACUUAAUGCAAGACAUCUAAUUAAGGGCAGUGGUCGAGAAAGCAAGGUAUCAAGAAGUCCAGGAACAGUCUACGUGAGGUUUUACAGCCUUCCCGUCAAGCAACGAAGCCUGAGCGUCUAAGAAUGUCCAAACACUACUCUGUGGCUAUGCCUAAUCUGGACACGAACUUGGUGACACUAAUGUUAUGUGCAAACUCUGUGAAAUCUGAGCCCACUCUCCCUGGGAACCGAGAUGAAGAAUAUGAUAACACAAAGUUGGAAGGGAUGGUUGACACACUAGAUCAAUGGUGUUAAACUACUAGCCAGGACCAGCCUUCAAAACUCCCAAGUACCUCUCAAACAAGACUAAAAUGUAAUUUGGAAAUAUUUAACAAAAUUAAAAAAAAAACCUGAU